rnacentral:rRNA from 1 species
UACAGAGGGUGCGAGCGUUGUCCGGAAUCACUGGGCGUAAAGGGCGCGUAGGCGGCUCGGUAAGCGUGUGGUGAAAGCCCGGGGCUUAACCCCGGGUCGGCCAUGCGAACUGUCGAGCUGGAGCACGGUAGAGGCACAUGGAAUUCCGGGUGUAGCGGUGGAAUGCGUAGAGAUCCGGAAGAACACCGGUGGCGAAGGCGGUGUGCUGGGCCGUAGCUGACGCUGAGGCGCGACAGCGUGGGGAGCAAACAGGAUUAGAAACCCUUGUAGU